CCUACGGGAGGCUGCAGUGAGGAAUAUUGGUCAAUGGUCGGGAGACUGAACCAGCCAAGCCGCGUGAGGGAUGAAGGUACAGAGUAUCGUAAACCUCUUUUGUCAGGGAACAAAGGCGGGGACGCGUCCCCGGAUGAGUGUACCUGAAGAAAAAGCAUCGGCUAACUCCGUGCCAGCAGCCGCGGUAAUACGGAGGAUGCGAGCGUUAUCCGGAUUUAUUGGGUUUAAAGGGUGCGCAGGCGUUCUGUUAAGUUAGCGGUCAAAGCCCGGGGCGAAACCCCGGCCCGCCGUUGAAACUGGCAGGCUCGAGUUGGAGAGAAGGAUGCGGAAUGCGCGGUGUAGCGGUGAAAUGCAUAGAUAUCGCGCAGAACUCCGAUUGCGAAGGCAGCAUGCCGGCUCCACACUGACGCUGAGGCACGAAAGCGUGGGUAUCGAACAGGAUUAGAUACCCGUGUAGUC
rnacentral:rRNA from 1 species